rnacentral:lncRNA from 1 species
ACAGAAGCAAGUGUGGAUCCACAACCUAGUCAGGUAUUUCCUCAACAUCAGAAAAUAUUCCAAUAAACUUAUCCCCCUUGAACCAACUUGUUGAGUGAAAUUGGGUUUGAAUCCCUUAAACAAGGUCUUGUAUUCAAGUCUUAAAGAUGCUAAAAACGUGAUUGAGAGGGGAAAGUCUAUUAUAGAUGGUUAGCCAAUUUUACGGCGGAGAUUAGUCAUCCGUAAAAUUGGAUGCUUCACACCAAUAGUAAAAAAAAUUAGAGUUUAAUUAGAAUGUUAGUAAAGAACAUGGAAAUCAAAGUCACUUGUCAGUAAAGUCAUACCUGGAAUAAUUUAUGAUUGGUUGAUAGUGCAAAUGAUUUUUUUUCAUUGAUAGAACAUGGAAAUUAAACUAUCGAUUUUUUUUUCUUUAGUUCCUUUAAAAGAUUCCUUAAUGGAAAAUAAACCAAAUUUAUCUUGUUAUCUGUCAGAAAAAAAGAAAAAAAGAAAAAAAGAAAUCUCAACGUACCAGCCAGGUUACUGACAUUACCUUUACUUUUCUCAUUCUUGUUUCUUGAGUAGGCAGAGUACUUGGAAGAGGUACUAAGAGAGUCUUAUUCUCAUCCUGCUGUUGAAGGGAUUAUAAUGUUUUCUGGUCCAGCACAAGCUGGUUUCAACACCACGAUGCUAGCCGAUGAGACUUUCAAAAAUACUGCUGCUAGAGACGUUGUGUGCAAGCUGAUUCAGGAGUGGGGAACUGGGUCUCAUAUUGCCACAGCAGACAAUAGAGGAGUUGUAGAUAUUUCACUGCACCAUGACGAUUAUGAUGUAACUGUUACAUAUCCUCUAAUCCACUGGAAGCCAUUCAUGUGAAAGUGGGUGCAUAAAAUGUUAUGCUUCUGUUGAAGCAAGCAGUCAUUGCAUGUGUAAAGUUGAAUGAUUGUAAUAAAGUGGCUUGCAGCAUCAUGGUUGAUUAUUCUUGUUUUCAAAAUCCUACAACUAACAAUGUUAUUUCUCAUACUCCAACAUAAAACAUAUACAAGUGAUUUUGAUAAAUAUCUAUUAGAUAGUUAAUCACAUAAAUACAUAGAGAGUUAGUUAAGCUUGUUGGUUGAAGAAAUAAGUCAUGUUACCUAUAAAUAAUAAAGGAGGUUAAGAUGUUUAAGGUCUCACUUAAGACAUCCAUUUUCUGAAUGGGCUGAGUUCCUUUUCUAGUUUAACGGUCCAAGCCCAUAUGAAUAAAGAGAAGAAUGAGGAUUCGUGAAUCCAUACUCGGGGGGGCAGUCCCUAUUGGUACCUGAUAAUUAGUUACAUAAAUACUAAAUAGUUAGUGAAGUUAUUGGUCGGAGAAAUAAGUCAAGUUACCAGUAAAUAACAAGAAAGAUUGAGAUAUUAUCUUGUCAUUUGUGCUGAUGUUAUACUGCAGCCAAGGGUAGAUCAAGUGAGAAAAAUCUCAAAAAGGUAGAGUGGGCAAUUUGCAAGAUCAGAUUGUUAAGGGAUGAUUUUCAGUAUCAGUACUCUGAAGUCAGAACAUCAUCGAAAGAUGGAUGGGAGUACCUUUUAAUGUUAGAUAGAUCCAUGAGGAAAAGGUAAAAGUUCUAAUAUUGCCACAAAGAAACUAAUGAACACAUUUUAUUUUCAGUAAUCUCUAAACCAAAAAUGUACUCUUUUGUCAGAAACCUGCUUCCAACUAGUGAUCUAACCUAAUAAAACAUAAGUACAAAACCAUGCUACAUAAAGUUCCUACUACAUCAACUAAGAACUCUUACUGUGGUCCAAAACAAAAGUAAAAUUCAACAAAGUCCUAACAGCUAAGUAAAAAAAUGUGAUAUUGAUUGCAAAACCAGCUUUCCUACCUAUCCAACAGUUAGCUUGACCAAUUGCAAAAAUGUAGAAAGGGAUGAAUUAGACUUAAUUCCUCCUUCCAAUUGAGAUCUCCACACAUAAAUGAAAUCAAAGUCACUUGUUAUGGGUUGGGUUUGAGUUGCUUGGAGGAUUCUUCCUUAAACUUGUAUUUACUGAUCUCUGAGGAGCCUCAUAAACUAUUUUUAAUUUAUCUAAACUUGCAGAGAAGUAGGAGACACGAUCUAGCAGCUUCCGUGGUGGGCACCUACCUAUCAGAUUACUUCUAGUCUCAGUAGUCAUUGAAACUAUAGAGAAAAUGAUGAAGUGCGUGAGAAUUAAGACAAAUAGACCCACCAAAGCACGUUGAGUGGUUCUCAUGGCAGGGUCUUGUGAAAUCAACAAUUGAAGAUAGUUAAAAGAAUGGAGUUCUGGUGCUUGGAACUAUCCCAUAGAAAAGUUUCUAGGCUUGUUUAUGUUGUAGUUUGUGCCUAAGAUAGAAGAAGGGAGAAGUACAGUGGUGAAUCUGAGGUGUAGCAAUCUUUUUUUAUUGUUUGUUGGUGGUUGAAGAGUGAAGACUAUGAUGGACAAUGGAGAACAAAGAGGUUUAGGUAGCUUGCACUAUUUUAAAAGGAUGAAAUGAAACGUAUUUAAGGUUUUUUCAGCCAAUGAAUACUCAAUAGCUGUGUAAAAGAUUCAGAUUUAGGGAAUUGAAGAGGAAGGAGAAGGAUGAUGCAUGGA